rnacentral:rRNA from 1 species
UAAUACGUAGGGUGCAAGCGUUAAUCGGAAUUACUGGGCGUAAAGCGUGCGCAGGUGGUUGUGCAAGUCUGAUGUGAAAUCCCCGAGCUUAACUUGGGAACUGCAUUGGAGACUGCACGACUAGAGUGCGUCAGAGGGGGGUAGAAUUCCACGUGUAGCAGUGAAAUGCGUAGAGAUGUGGAGGAAUACCGAUGGCGAAGGCAGCCCCCUGGGAUAGCACUGACACUCAUGCACGAAAGCGUGGGGAGCAAACAGG